GCUAGUGUAGCUUAACUGGUAGAGCAGCUGAUUUGUAAUCAGCAGAUCGGGAGUUCGAAUCUCUUCACUAGCU
rnacentral:tRNA from 1 species